UCUGCCCUUCACUCUGGGACAAGCCCUGGAAACGGGGUCUAAUACCGGAUAACACUCUGUCCCGCAUGGGACGGGGUUAAAAGCUCCGGCGGUGAAGGAUGAGCCCGCGGCCUAUCAGCUUGUUGGUGGGGUGAUGGCCUACCAAGGCGACGACGGGUAGCCGGCCUGAGAGGGCGACCGGCCACACUGGGACUGAGACACGGCCCAGACUCCUACGGGAGGCAGCAGUGGGGAAUAUUGCACAAUGGGCGAAAGCCUGAUGCAGCGACGCCGCGUGAGGGAUGACGGCCUUCGGGUUGUAAACCUCUUUCAGCAGGGAAGAAGCGAAAGUGACGGUACCUGCAGAAGAAGCGCCGGCUAACUACGUGCCAGCAGCCGCGGUAAUACGUAGGGCGCAAGCGUUGUCCGGAAUUAUUGGGCGUAAAGAGCUCGUAGGCGGCUUGUCACGUCGGAUGUGAAAGCCCGGGGCUUAACCCCGGGUCUGCAUUCGAUACGGGCUAGCUAGAGUGUGGUAGGGGGAGAUCGGAAUUCCUGGUGUAGCGGUGAAAUGCGCAAUAUCAGGAGGAACACCGGUGGCGAAAGCGGAUCUCUGGGCCAU
rnacentral:rRNA from 1 species